rnacentral:rRNA from 1 species
GACGAACGCUGGCGGCGUGCUUAACACAUGCAAGUCGAACGGAAAGGCCCUGCUUUUGUGGGGUGCUCGAGUGACGAACGGGUGAGUAACACGUGAGUAACCUGCCCUUGACCUUGGGAUAACUUCAGGAAACUGGGGCUGAUACCGGAUAGGAGCUCCUGCUGCAUGGUGGGGGUUGGAAAGUUUCGGCGGUUGGGGAUGGACUCGCGGCUUAUCAGCUUGUUGGUGGGGUAGUGGCUUACCAAGGCUUUGACGGGUAGCCGGCCUGGGAGGGUGACCGGCCACAUUGGGACUGAGAUACGGCCCAGACUCCUACGGGAGGCAGCAGUGGGGAAUAUUGCACAAUGGGCGGAAGCCUGAUGCAGCAACGCCGCGUGCGGGAUGACGGCCUUCGGGUUGUAAACCGCUUUCGCCUGUGACGAAGCGUGAGUGACGGUAAUGGGUAAAGAAGCACCGGCUAACUACGUG